rnacentral:rRNA from 2 species
CCCUAGUAACGGCGAGUGAAGCGGCAACAGCUCAAAUUUGAAAUCUGGCUCUCGGGCCCGAGUUGUAAUUUGUAGAGGAUACUUUUGAUGCGGUGCCUUCCGAGUUCCCUGGAACGGGACGCCAUAGAGGGUGAGAGCCCCGUCUGGUUGGAUGCCAAAUCUCUGUAAAGUUCCUUCGACGAGUCGAGUAGUUUGGGAAUGCUGCUCUAAAUGGGAGGUAUAUGUCUUCUAAAGCUAAAUACCGGCCAGAGACCGAUAGCGCACAAGUAGAGUGAUCGAAAGAUGAAAAGCACUUUGAAAAGAGAGUUAAAAAGUACGUGAAAUUGUUGAAAGGGAAGCGUUUAUGACCAGACUUGGGCUUGGUUAAUCAUCUGGGGUUCUCCCCAGUGCACUUUUCCAGUCCAGGCCAGCAUCAGUUUUCCCCGGGGGAUAAAGGCUUCGGGAAUGUGGCUCUCUUCGGGGAGUGUUAUAGCCCGUUGUGUAAUACCCUGGGGGGGACUGAGGUUCGCGCAUCUGCAAGGAUGCUGGCGUAAUGGUCAUCAACGACCCGUCUU